GACGAACGCUGGCGGCGUGCCUAAUACAUGCAAGUCGAGCGAACAUUUGAGAGCUUGCUCUCAAAUGUUAGCGGCGGACGGGUGAGUAACACGUGGGCAACCUGCCUAUAAGACUGGGAUAACUUCGGGAAACCGGAGCUAAUACCGGAUAAUUCACAUCUACUCAUGUAGAUGUGCUGAAAGAUGGUUUACGCUGUCACUUAUAGAUGGGCCCGCGGCGCAUUAGCUAGUUGGUGAGGUAAUGGCUCACCAAGGCGACGAUCAGUAGCUGGUCUGAGAGGAUGAUCAGCCUCAUUGGGACUGAGACACGGCCCAAACUCCUACGGGAGCAGCAGGUGGGAAUAUUGGACAAUGGCGCAAGCCUGAUCCAGCCAUGCCGCGUGGAUGAUGAAGGCCCUAGGGUUGUAAAGUCC
rnacentral:rRNA from 1 species